UACGUAGGGGGCAAGCGUUGUCCGGAUUUAUUGGGCGUAAAGAGCGUGUAGGCGGCCAGGUAGGUCAGCUGUGAAAACUCGAGGCUCAACCUCGAGACGCCGGUUGAAACCAUCUGGCUAGAGUCCGGAAGAGGAGAGUGGAAUUCCUGGUGUAGCGGUGAAAUGCGUAGAUAUCAGGAGGAACACCUGCGGUGUAGACGGCUUUCUGGACCAUUGCUGACGCUGAGACACGAAAGCGUGGGUAGCAAACAGG
rnacentral:rRNA from 1 species